rnacentral:rRNA from 1 species
CCGUAACUAUAACGGUCCUAAGGUAGCGAAAUUCCUUGUCGGGUAAGUUCCGACCCGCACGAAUGGCGUAACGAUGGCCACACUGUCUCCUCUUGGGACUCAGCGAAGUUGAAAUGUUUGUGAAGAUGCAAUCUACCCGCGGCUAGACGGAAAGACCCCAUGAACCUUUACUGUAGCUUUGCAUUGGACUUUGAAUCGAUCUGUGUAGGAUAGGUGGGAGGCUUUGAAGCGGGGACGCUAGUUCUCGUGGAGCCAACCUUGAAAUACCACCCUGAUUUGUUUGAGGUUCUAACCUAGGUCCAUUAUCUGGAUCGGGGACAGUGCAUGGUAGGCAGUUUGACUGGGGCGGUCUCCUCCCAAAGUGUAACGGAGGAGUACGAAGGUACGCUUGGCACGGUCGGACAUCGUGCCUAUAGUGCAAUGGCAAAAGCGUGCUUAACUGCGAGACCGACAAGUCGAGCAGGUGCGAAAGCAGGACAUAGUGAUCCGGUGGUUCUGUAUGGAAGGGCCAUCGCUCAACGGAUAAAAGGUACUCCGGGGAUAACAGGCUGAUACCGCCCAAGAGUUCAUAUCGACGGCGGUGUUUGGCACCUCGAUGUCGGCUCAUCACAUCCUGGGGCUGUAGCCGGUCCCAAGGGUAUGGCUGUUCGCCAUUUAAAGUGGUACGUGAGCUGGGUUUAAAACGUCGUGAGACAGUUUGGUCCCUAUCUGCCGUGGGCGUUGGAAGUUUGAGGGGGGCUGCUCCUAGUACGAGAGGACCGGAGUGGACAGAUCUCUGGUGGACCGGUUGUCAUGCCAAUGGCAUAGCCGGGUAGCUAAAUCUGGAAGAGAUAAGCGCUGAAAGCAUCUAAGCGCGAAACUCGCCUCGAGAUGAUACUUCCCUGUGCUUUAAGCACACUAAAGAGUCGUUCAAGACCAGGACGUUGAUAGGUCAGGUGUGGAAGCGUAGUAAUACGUUAAGCUAACUGAUACUAAUUGCUCGUGAGGCUUGAUCCU